rnacentral:misc_RNA from 1 species
AAUAAAAAAUAAAAUAAAAUCAGCAAUAAAUUGAUGAGAGACAAUUCUGAAAAUAAAGUGAUACAAAUUGCAGCUGAUGAGUAUCAUAUCAAUUAAUUAUCAGCUAUACUUGAAAGGUGAUACAAAUUGCCUGGUGUUUCCAGGUCUCCAAUACGUCCCUAUAUGGGAGACAGCAUCAAGUCUUAUUUAAUGUACUUUUUUUGUUCAAUCUCUCUGUGUUUAUUUAUUAAACUGCUUUGAAAGUAGGAAGAUGAGACAUGAAAUGCAAA